UAUUUUUUGUUUGCGGACAGAAAGAAAGAAAGACGAGGUUAUACAUGGAGACGGAUCAAGCGUUCGAGAGUUCGGACUAGGAAAUGAAACACUGGAACGACACAGCUUAGACGGAAUCAUAGUGUGCGAAUGAUCUGCAACACUCAGAACUGCUAUGCCCAUUCGGGAAGAAAUCAGGUAAGGCACUUGUUGGGUUGUGAUUGCAGAAAAGUGAUAAUCAAUUCGAAGUCGCUUUUGUCCCCACAGAU
rnacentral:lncRNA from 1 species